GGAAGGUAGCAAGAGGCCAUGGAGUGAACCCUGAGAAUGUCCGGAACAGUUCAUGCCAGACAUGUGUUCUGGCUGGCACACUGGGAGUGCUGAUGGUUCCUGAAAUGGGGGAGAGGGCUACUUGGAGAGUCCCAGGGUUGGCGCAGUGACUGUGGUCUUUGCUGUGGGAUAGGUGCAGGAGAACUCCCCAGCCCAGCAGGCGGGCCUGGAGCCCUACUUUGACUUCAUCAUCACCAUUGGGCACUCGAGGCUGAACAAGGAGAAUGACACCCUGAAGGCACUACUGAAAGCCAAU
rnacentral:lncRNA from 1 species